rnacentral:rRNA from 1 species
UGGGGAAUCAUGGUCAAUGGGCGAAAGCCUGAACCUGCGACGCCGCGUGAGUGAUGAAGGUCGUAAGAUCGUAAAACUCUUUUCAGGGAUCUUAAAGCUCCAGCUCUAACAUAGCUUGGAGUGUGACUAUCCCUGGAAUAAGCCCCAGCCAACUACGUGCCAGCAGCUGCGGUAAUACGUAGGGGGCGAGCGUUAUUCGGAAUUACUGGGUGUAAAGGGUAUGUAGGCGGUUCCUCAAGUCGCUUGUCAAAGUCCAGCGCUUAACGCUGGGUGUGCACGCGAUACUGUGGAACUAGAGGGCUGGAGAGGUGAGCGGAAUUCCCGGUGUAGUGGUAAAAUACGUAGAUAUCGGGAGGAACACCAGCGGCGUAGGCGGCUCACUAGACAGUUUCUGACGCUAAGAUACGAAAGCGUGGGGAGCAAACA